UGGGGAAUAUUGCACAAUGGGCGAAAGCCUGAUGCAGCGACGCCGCGUGAGGGACGAAGGUCUUCGGAUUGUAAACCUCUUUCAGCAGGGACGAAGCGAAAGUGACUGUACCUGCAGAAGAAGCACCGGCUAACUACGUGCCAGCGGCCGCGGUAAUACGUAGGGUGCAAGCGUUGUCCGGAUUUAUUGGGCGUAAAGAGCUCGUAGGCGGUUCGUCACGUCGGAUGUGAAAACCUGGGGCUUAACCCCGGGCCUGCAUACGAUACGGGCGAACUAGAGUUCGGUAGGGGAGACUGGAAUUCCUGGUGUAGCGGUGAAAUGCGCAGAUAUCAGGAGGAACACCGGUGGCGAAGGCGGGUCUCUGGGCCGAUACUGACGCUGAGGAGCGAAAGCGUGGGGAGCAAACA
rnacentral:rRNA from 1 species